UCGGUGCAGAUAAUCAAGAUG
rnacentral:siRNA from 1 species